rnacentral:tRNA from 1 species
GGAGAGGUGCCAGAGCGGCCGAAUGGACCUGACUCGAAAUCAGGAGCACGGGUAACCGUGCCGGGGGUUCAAAUCCCCCCCUCUCCGCCA